UCUUGGCAGUCAAGCUUCCUCUGAGACCCUGAGAUCCUAGUGUGACCAAGCUCCUGUUAUCCGAGGAUCCUUAAGUCCUAGGAUCUUGGCCAUGUUACAGCACCUGGAAAGUGGUGUCUCCUCUGGGGACCAUGGGGCUCUCUGAUGUGUUUGAAACCAAGGUAUACCAGCACUGAUCAGAAGUAAUCUGAGCAUCUGGUCAGACAGGGCUCCUGUGUCCAUGCUCCUGCUGUCACAGGCCCGUUACAAUUGGUUUGGAACAGAUGUUGUGUUCCACUCACCAGUGAUCCUAAGAUCCUGGGUGUGCUAGGGUGCCUGCGGCAUGGAGAGCCCUCUGGGGACCGUGGGACCAUCUGCCAGGCAUACUUGUUAAUAUCUAUUUAGAGAACUAAUUUUCCAAGUCUAUCAGCUCCCAGUAAAGAGGAUGUUUGGAGAAACGUGUCUGUAUCAACUUGAGCAGUCCACACCUAUAUGCCCAAUCCUGAAUCUGUUCUUUACUUCCUGGUCACUGCUCUAUCUGCCUCACUGGAGGUCUGCUGCCACCCAGGACUACCAGUGCACAGCUCUAUCUGUAAUCCAAGAUCUACACUCCUCACCCAGAGCCAUGCUCUGCCUGGCUUCCUUCAGGCCUAAUGCCACUCAGGAGAACCAGCUCUGCUGCUUCCCCAGAGGUUUGCUGCCAACCUAGACACCUAGCAGCUUUGACUUGAACUGAAACGUCAGGCAGACAUGGGCACAACACAGCUAUUGGUGGCAUGUAAGAAGAAAGAAGGAGUCAUUGGAACCAGAUUCACUCAGUUCUAAGAUCUCAAGAAAUAUACUGAACCUACUGGUACUCAGAGAAAUCCUAAUUCAUAGACUGCCUUCUCAGGAGGACCCCCCCCAUACCAAAGGCAUUGUGUAUGGAGCCUUCCCAGAAAGAGCCCUAAGAUAUAAAAUCUCUGAAAAAAAAAUCCCAGAUCAAAUUGUAACAGGUCAUUUCUACCUGGCCAUGCUUUAGUAAGCAAAUGAUUACAUGGCUCUGGAGAAAGGUGCUACAGAAGGUCGACCUUUCUAGAACAGCCUACACUGGUACAGGUAAAAAAAUGAUACUCAGGAAGUGGGAUGGACAUAUCUACUUGGUAUCUUACAGAACAAAAUACAGAAUUCAUCGUAAAGCCUUGAGAUUGAAGAAUAAAAUAUCAAUUUAUGUUAAUUGCAUAAUCAUUGAUGGAUCUGUCAUACAAUGCCAGAUAUCAAGUAGUUACAUAUGACUGGCCUGUGUUAUAGUGCACAUUGAAAUGCUCUUAUUGAGACUCCAAACUCAAAAAAAGACUGAAAGAACAAGAAACAAGUGUCAGAGUAAGAAUGUACUAGUCAUAGUUUUCUAGAAAAAAAUUCCUCAUAUAUACAUAAAUAUAUAUGUGAGAUAUUGAAGUGGCAUACAGGCUGUGAUCUGGCUAGAGCAACAAUGACUAUCUCACCACAAAAAGACCAAAAUGUUGUCCUUAUUCAGUCCAUAAAGCUGGAAGACUCGGCUGGUCUUCAGUCUGUGUUGGAUCCUGAGAAAGUAGGUUCUAAUGCUGGUGAAGAGAUUCCUCAGCAGUGAGAAUAUGGGCAAGUAGACGAAAGUGAUGCUUCCUUCUUCCAUGUUUUCUGUGGAAU
rnacentral:lncRNA from 1 species